UUUUCCGCGGCUCUGGAAACCUCCAAACAAGCUCACAGACUUCGAGGGUCUAAAAAUGGUACUCUGCAGAAAUCAAUGAGAAAAAGACAACAGAAAUAGAUGUUUAUGAAUAUGAGAUGUGUUUUUUUUGGGUAGCCAUCAUUGCCAGAAAAGUAAGGGUAAUUAGGUUUUUUUAAUAAGAAUCUCAGUUUUCUACUCUUUCCAACCCCUCCACUUAGAAAUGGUCAUCGGAGAAAUGGUCACCGGAAGGUGAGUUUAAUACAAAAAUCUAUGAACAAUAAAUAAAAGAAGAAGAAGAAAGAAAGGAGCAAGAAUAUCAAGAAUAAUAGGCCAAGGAGCCCAUUGAUCAACCCCGAACACCACUUCUUUCUCCUCCUUUGGAAACCCUUCUGUAUCCAGAUACUUCUCGAGAAAAGGUUCCUCCCAAUUUUUUAAAAAAACCAGAGUUUUUGAUUGGAAAGGUAAACAGAAAUUAUUGGUCUGACAAAACUCCUCAGAGUUCCGUAUCCUUAUCCAACUCCCCAAGUCCCAAGUCGCAACAACUCAGCCUAGUUAGCUCAUUUGGCUGUGCCUGUCACCACCACAGAGACAGCACAACGAGACAGAGAAAGAGAAACAACUCUCCACUUUCUCUCUGCACUCACUCUCUCCACCCCCCCCCAUCUUUUCUCUUCUCUGAACCAACUUUUCUUUAAGCGGGGUGCCUUGGAGCAGGCGCUCAUGUAGUAAAAGCACUUCGUUCACUGGUACACAUUGAGAUCUAUGGUGGGUGUUUGUGAUUUAACUGUGACUGAACUCCUAUCUAUUGCUUCAUUCUUCAAUGCUUCCUGGGUUUUGGGGAUCAUUGCAGAUAACGUGAAUGUAGAGUAGAAGACUAGGGAGAGAGAGAGAGAGAGAGAUGGGUGUGUGAAUGUGGGUGCAAUUAUAUGUCAGGGUGGUAGACUGGUAGGGUGAGGUCUUCUCAAUUUCAUAUCAGGAGGGUCCACCACACAGAGACACAAAGGGUGGCCUGUGG
rnacentral:lncRNA from 1 species